UGCCAGCUGCCGCGGUAAUACGUAGGGAGCGAGCGUUAUCCGGAAUUAUUGGGCGUAAAGCGUGCGUAGGCGGUUUACUAAGUCAAAUCUGAAAGCCCUCGGCUUAACUGUGGAGGGUGAUUUGAAACUGGCGAGCUUGAGUACGGCAGAGGUUAGUGGAAUUCAAUGUGUAGCGGUGGAAUGCGUAGAUAUAUUGAGGAACACCAGUGGCGAAGGCGGCUAACUGGACCGGAACUGACGCUGAUGCACGAAAGCGUGGGUAGCAAACAGGAUUAGAUA
rnacentral:rRNA from 1 species